rnacentral:rRNA from 1 species
GUAAGGAAUAUUGGUCAAUGGAGGCAACUCUGAACCAGCCAUGCCGCGUGAAGGAUUAAGGCCCUCUGGGUUGUAAACUUCUUUUAUAUGGGAAGAAAUGUACUUUUUCUAAAGUGCUUGACGGUACCAUAGGAAUAAGCACCGGCUAACUCCGUGCCAGCAGCCGCGGUAAUACGGAGGGUGCAAGCGUUAUCCGGAUUUACUGGGUUUAAAGGGUGCGUAGGCGGAUGAAUAAGUCAGUGGUGAAAUCUCCGAGCUUAACUCGGAAACUGCCGUUGAUACUAUUUGUCUUGAAUAUUGUGGAGGUAAGCGGAAUAUGUCAUGUAGCGGUGAAAUGCUUAGAUAUGACAUGGAACACCAAUUGCGAAGGCAGCUUGCUACACAAUCAUUGACGCUGAGGCACGAAAGCGUGGGGAUCAAACA